rnacentral:rRNA from 1 species
GUAGGGGGCAAGCGUUGUCCGGAAUUAUUGGGCGUAAAGCGCGCGCAGGCGGUCUCUUAAGUCCGAUGUGAAAGCCCACGGCUCAACCGUGGAGGGUCAUUGGAAACUGGGGGACUUGAGUGUAGGAGAGGAAAGUGGAAUUCCACGUGUAGCGGUGAAAUGCGUGGAUAUGUGGAGGAACACCAGUGGCGAAGGCGACUUUCUGGCCUACAACUGACGCUGAGGUGCGAAAGCGUGGGGAGCAAACAGGGAUUAGAUACCCUGGUAGUCCACGCCGUAAACGAUGAGUGCUAGGUGUUAGGGGUUUCGAUGCCCCUUAGUGCCGAAGUUAACACAUUAAGCACUCCGCCUGGGGAGUACGACCGCAAGGUUG